AAGGUUCCAUGUGAACGG
rnacentral:snRNA from 1 species